GUAUUACUCCCUCCAUCCCAAAAUUCUUGUCUUAGAUUUGUCUAAAUACGGAUGUAUCAAGUCACGUUUUAGUAUUAGAUACAUCCGUAUCUAGACAAAUAUAAGACAAGAAUUUUGGGAUGGAGGGAGUAGUAA
rfam:Triticum urartu cultivar G1812 contig122136, whole genome shotgun sequence.